rnacentral:lncRNA from 1 species
GGAGCAACAAAUGUAUGAGAGGGUCUUGGUUCUCAAUACUGUCUGCCACCCCUGGAGUUCUGUAUUUAUAGGCUUCUUAAAACUCAUCCUAGGUGAAUGGCAAGGCUUUCUUUGUGUCCCUAGCCAGUCUUUUUAUGAGUAAGGGAGUUUGCCAUAUCUUUUCAACAUUUUGAUCAAUAACAAAGAUGAGUGAGAGGCCUAGAUGUUUGGAAUUAAACUGCAUGAUAUUGGAAAGGGCCAGUUUGUUUGUCGAUAUCAGGCCCUAUGGUAUGCCAAAGAAUGACUCUUCAAUUACAUUACAAGGACAUAAUCAAAUGUACCAGAGUGCAGUGCAUCAGCAAGAGAACUUUUUUGACCCUUCUUUUUCUUUGUAGCUGUUCCUAGGACUCCGAAAUGUGGUGCAUGGUGUCUUUUUGCUUG